rnacentral:lncRNA from 1 species
GCGAAAGGUGGUCAACCGUUGGUGGACAGAUUUUUAAGUGGUUGUUUCGGACACUUAUUAGAUUGGAAUCCGGGGUCAAAGUGUGCUAUGGUGUAGAGAAUCAUUUGCAUCAUUUUAACUUGUAAAUAUUAUUUUCGUAUAAUAUUUACAUAUGUGCGGUAUUUCAAACUCAUUUCCUUGGUGGUAUUUUAGGCACAAAAGGUGAUGGGGGAAUCAUAAAAGGACAAAAUGAUAGAGAAUCAUAGUACACU